GAUGAACGCUAGCUACAGGCUUAACACAUGCAAGUCGAGGGGAAACGAUAUUGGAAGCUUGCUUCCGAUGGGCGUCGACCGGCGCACGGGUGAGUAACGCGUAUCCAACCUGCCCACCACUUGGAGAUAACCUUGCGAAAGUAAGACUAAUACCCAAUGACGUCUCUAGAAGACAUCUGAAAGAGAUUAAAGAUUUAUCGGUGAUGGAUGGGGAUGCGUCUGAUUAGCUUGUUGGCGGGGUAACGGCCCACCAAGGCGACGAUCAGUAGGGGUUCUGAGAGGAAGGUCCCCCACAUUGGAACUGAGACACGGUCCAAACUCCUACGGGAGGCAGCAGUGAGGAAUAUUGGUCAAUGGGCGAGAGCCUGAACCAGCCAAGUAGCGUGCAGGAUGACGGCCCUAUGGGUUGUAAACUGCUUUUAUAAGGAAUAAAGUGAGCCUCGUGAGGCUUUUUGCAUGUACCUUAUGAAUAAGGACCGGCUAAUCCGUGCCAGCAGCCG
rnacentral:rRNA from 1 species